rnacentral:rRNA from 2 species
UCACGAGGAUCCUACUGUCUCCCCCCUCUAAUCAGUGAAACUGAUCUCCCCGUGAAGAAGCGGGGAUAUACAUAUAAGACGAGAAGACCCCAUGGAGCUUUAAACCUGACAGCACCCGCUCAUUCUAUACCCCAUUAUUUGCCCGACCCCUGUCUGCUCAGUUUUAGGUUGGGGUGACCACGGAGUAUAAAAUAACCUCCAUGAAGAAGGGGAUAUUUCCCUUAUUAGAGAACCACACUUCCAAGAACUAAUAAAUUAAUUUUCAAUGACCCGAUACCCGAUAAUCGAUCAACGAACCAAGUUACCCUGGGGAUAACAGCGCAAUCCACCCUGAAAGCCCUUAUUAACAGGUGGGUUUACGACCUCGAUGUUGGAUCAGGGUAUCCCAGUGGUGCAGCAGCUACUGAGGGUUCGUUUGUUCAACGAUUAAAACCCU